GGCACGUCUGCCUGGGUGUC
rnacentral:siRNA from 1 species